rnacentral:rRNA from 1 species
GAUCAUUAUCGAAAAAGGGGAAAGGCUGUUGCUGGUCCUCUCGAGGACAACCUGUGCACGCCUUUUCUAUUCAUCGUUUUUACACCUGUGCACCACUUGUAGGCUGAGAAAUCAGUCUACGUCUUUUCAUCAUACACACUUCUUUACUUUGAAUGUAUACCUGCUUGAAAUACAGCAAAAAAAAAUCAUACAACUUUCAACAACGGAUCUCUUGGCUCUCGCAUCGAUGAAGAACGCAGCGAAAUGCGAUAAGUAAUGUGAAUUGCAGAAUUCAGUGAAUCAUCGAAUCUUUGAACGCACCUUGCGCUCCUUGGUAUUCCGAGGAGCAUGCCUGUUUGAGUGUCAUGAAACCUCUCAAUCCUCAUGGCUGACCAGUCUCUGAGGGUUGGAUUGUGGAGUGUGCUGGAAAAAGGGAGGAUCUCUCUCACCGGCUCCUCUGAAAUGCAUUAGCGAAAUCUUGACCACAGGAAAACUGCUUAGCUUUUUUGGUUUGAUAAUCUUUUUGUCUACGCCAUGGCUAUUUGCAUCCUUGUCGGUGUGAGGUUUGCUUACAAUCCUAUUCUUGAUAUUUGACCUCAAAUCAUGUACGA